rnacentral:lncRNA from 1 species
CAUCAAAGAAGGUGGCACCAGCUGGAUCUGCCCACAGACGCCUUCGAAGGUCCCAGGGGAUCUAUCUGAGAUUUUGGCCACUACCUGAAGUAUGGAGUUUUGCCAGCAAUAAGGAGAAAGCCUUGUAGGAGGCAAAGGGCACCCACUGGGACCUGGACGAUCAUGGGGAUUCGACAUGCUUUUCUGAAGGCACCAGGCAUGCGGGCUGUACUGAAGCAUACAAGCAGAAAUAGGAGAAGAAGAAAAGAAGGAAAGGAAACAGCACGCCUCUCACCAGGGAAGGGAUGGAGCAGACAGGAACAUCGAAUUGCUGAUUUAAAAGAAAGUAGGGUAGUCUG